rnacentral:tRNA from 1 species
GGAGCGGUGGCCGAGCGGUUUAAGGCGCACGCCUGGAAAGCGUGUUGACAGCAAUGUCUCGAGGGUUCGAAUCCCUUCCGCUCCUCCA